rnacentral:rRNA from 1 species
ACCUCAAUCCGGAGGGCCCNA